AUGCACGCUGGCGGCGUGCCUAAUACAUGCAAGUCGAGCGAACAGACGAGGAGCUUGCUCCUCUGACGUUAGCGGCGGACGGGUGAGUAACACGUGGAUAACCUACCUAUAAGACUGGGAUAACUUCGGGAAACCGGAGCUAAUACCGGAUAAUAUAUUGAACCGCAUGGUUCAAUAGUGAAAGACGGUUUUGCUGUCACUUAUAGAUGGAUCCGCGCCGCAUUAGCUAGUUGGUAAGGUAACGGCUUACCAAGGCAACGAUGCGUAGCCGACCUGAGAGGGGGAUCGGCCACACUGGAACUGAGAAACGGUCCAGACUCCUACGGGAGGCAGCAGUAGGGAAUCUUCCGCAAUGGGCGAAAGCCUGACGGAGCAACGCCGCGUGAGUGAUGAAGGUCUUCGGAUCGUAAAACGCUGUUAUUAGGGAAGAACAAAUGUGUAAGUAACUAUGCACGUCUUGACGGUACCGAAUCAGAAAGCCACGGCUAACUACGU
rnacentral:rRNA from 1 species